rnacentral:piRNA from 1 species
CCUCUGAAACACUCUGAAAACAAAGAAG